rnacentral:rRNA from 1 species
AUUGAACGCUGGCGGCAGGCCUAACACAUGCAAGUCGAGCGGAGCGGCGGACGGGUGAGUAAUGUAUGGGGAUCUGCCCGAUUGAGGGGGAUAACUACUGGAAACGGUGGCUAAUACCGCAUACUAUCGGAUGAACCCAGAUGGGAUUAGCUAGUUGGUGGGGUAAAGGCCUACCCAGGCGACGAUCCGUAACUGGUCUGAGAGGAUGAUCAGGCACACUGGAACGGAGACACGGUCCAGACUCCUACGGGAGGCAGCAGUGGGGAAUAUUGGACAAUGGGCGAAAGCCUGAUCCAGCCAUGCCGCGUGUGUGAAGAAGGUCUUCGGGUUGUAAAGCACUUUCAGUUGGGAGGCGUUACCAGCAGAAUAAGCACCGGCUAACUUCGUGCCAGCCGCCGCGGUAAUAC